rnacentral:rRNA from 1 species
UACGUAGGGGGCAAGCGUUGUCCGGAUUUAUUGGGCGUAAAGAGCGUGUAGGCGGCCUGAAAGGUCAGCUGUGAAAACUCGAGGCUUAACCUCGAGACGUCGGUUGAAACCAUCUGGCUAGAGUCCGGAAGAGGAGUGUGGAAUUCCCGGUGUGGCGGUGAAAUGCGCAGAUAUCGGGAAGAACACCCGUGGCGAAGGCGGCACUCUGGGACGGUACUGACGCUGAGACGCGAAAGCGUGGGGAGCGAACAGG